UCCGAUAUGGUGUAACGGCUAACAUUGCCGCCUUUCAAUAUUUCCGCGGCAGCUCGGGGUUCGAUUCCCGGUAUCCGAA